rnacentral:rRNA from 1 species
AUUGAACGCUGGCGGCAGGCUUAACACAUGCAAGUCGAGCGGGGGAAGGUAGCUUGCUACCGGACCUAGCGGCGGACGGGUGAGUAAUGCUUAGGAAUCUGCCUAUUAGUGGGGGACAACAUCUCGAAAGGGAUGCUAAUACCGCAUACGUCCUACGGGAGAAAGCAGGGGAUCUUCGGACCUUGCGCUAAUGGAUGAGCCUAAGUCGGAUUAGCUAGUUGGUGGGGUAAAGGCCUACCAAGGCGACGAUCUGGAGCGGGUCUGAGAGGAUGAUCCGCCACACUGGGACUGGGACACGGCCCAGACUCCUACGGGAGGAAGCAGUGGGGAAUAUUGGACAAUGGGGGGAACCCUGAUCCAGCCAUGCCGCGUGUGUGAAGAAGGCCUUAUGGUUGUAAAGCACUUUAAGCGAGGAGGAGGCUACUUUAGUUAAUACCUAGAGAUAGUGGACGUUACUCGCAGAAUAAGCACCGGCUAACUCUGUGCCAGCCGCCGCGGUAA